GUCGAACGAACUCUGGUAUUGAUUGGUGCUUGCAUCAUGAGUUUACAUUUGAGUGAGUGGCGAACUGGUGAGUAACACGUGGGAAACCUGCCCAGAAGCGGGGGAUAACACCUGGAAACAGAUGCUAAUACCGCAUAACAACUUGGACCGCAUGGUCCGAGCUUGAAAGAUGGCUUCGGCUAUCACUUUUGGAUGGUCCCGCGGCGUAUUAGCUAGAUGGUGGGGUAACGGCUCACCAUGGCAAUGAUACGUAGCCGACCUGAGAGGGUAAUCGGCCACAUUGGGACUGAGACACGGCCCAAACUCCUACGGGAGGCAGCAGUAGGGAAUCUUCCACAAUGGACGAAAGUCUGAUGGAGCAACGCCGCGUGAGUGAAGAAGGGUUUCGGCUCGUAAAACUCUGUUGUUAAAGAAGAACAUAUCUGAGAGUAACUGUUCAGGUAUUGACGGUAUUUAACCAGAAAGCCACGGCUAACUACGUGCCAGCAGCCGCGGUAAUACGUAGGUGGCAAGCGUUGUCCGGAUUUAUUGGGCGUAAAGCGAGCGCAGGCGGUUUUUUAAGUCUGAUGUGAAAGCCUUCGGCUCAACCGAAGAAGUGCAUCGGAAACUGGGAAACUUGAGUGCAGAAGAGGACAGUGGAACUCCAUGUGUAGCGGUGAAAUGCGUAGAUAUAUGGAAGAACACCAGUGGCGAAGGCGGCUGUCUGGUCUGUAACUGACGCUGAGGCUCGAAAGUAUGGGUAGCAAACAGGAUUAGAUACCCUGGUAGUCCAUACCGUAAACGAUGAAUGCUAAGUGUUGGAGGGUUUCCGCCCUUCAGUGCUGCAGCUAACGCAUUAAGCAUUCCGCCUGGGGAGUACGGCCGCAAGGCUGAAACUCAAAGGAAUUGACGGGGGCCCGCACAAGCGGUGGAGCAUGUGGUUUAAUUCGAAGCUACGCGAAGAACCUUACCAGGUCUUGACAUACUAUGCAAAUCUAAGAGAUUAGACGUUCCCUUCGGGGACAUGGAUACAGGUGGUGCAUGGUUGUCGUCAGCUCGUGUCGUGAGAUGUUGGGUUAAGUCCCGCAACGAGCGCAACCCUUAUUAUCAGUUGCCAGCAUUAAGUUGGGCACUCUGGUGAGACUGCCGGUGACAAACCGGAGGAAGGUGGGGAUGACGUCAAAUCAUCAUGCCCCUUAUGACCUGGGCUACACACGUGCUACAAUGGAUGGUACAACGAGUUGCGAACUCGCGAGAGUAAGCUAAUCUCUUAAAGCCAUUCUCAGUUCGGAUUGUAGGCUGCAACUCGCCUACAUGAAGUCGGAAUCGCUAGUAAUCGCGGAUCAGCAUGCCGCGGUGAAUACGUUCCCGGGCCUUGUACACACCGCCCGUCACACCAUGAGAGUUUGUAACACCCAAAGUCGGUGGGGUAACCUUUUAGGAACCAGCCGCCU
rnacentral:rRNA from 1 species